UACAGAGGGGGCAAGCGUUAUUCGGAAUUAUUGGGCGUAAAGGGCGCGUAGGCGGCUUUUCAAGUGACGGGUGAAAUCCCUCGGCUUAACCGAGGAACUGCCUGUCAGACUGGAAGGCUUGAGACCGGGAGAGGUGAGUGGAAUUCCCAGUGUAGCGGUGAAAUGCGUAGAUAUUGGGAGGAGCACCAGUGGCGAAGGCGGCUCACUGGACCGGAACUGACGCUGAGGCGCGAAAGCGUGGGGAGCAAACAGG
rnacentral:rRNA from 1 species